rnacentral:RNase_P_RNA from 1 species
AGGCAGGCGAGGAUGGCUACUUUCCAUAGCAGGGAGAGAGGAAAGUCCGAACUCCAGAGGGCAGCGUAGUGGGUAACGCCCAUCGUGACCACGGAUUGUGGUUUCAGGAUAAGAGCCACAGAGACGAGUCCUUGACCCAUUGGGUUAAGGGGUGAAACGAGGUAAUCUCUACGUGGAGCAAGACCAAAAAGGAGAUGAGAACUGGCCCGGUUCGUUAUUUAAUCUCGGGUAGGUUGCCUUAACCACGAUAGCAAUAUCGGGGUAAGAGAAAUAGCCAUGGAAAACAGAAUUCGGCUUACGUAGCCUGCCUACCG